UCUGUGCAGCUCUAUUCCACUUGACCUUUGGCUAACAGCAAGGAGCUUGGGCUGUUUAUUGAGAUUGUGAUUAUAACGCACGCAAAACCAGAACAGAAUUCCCAGAUUGUAGUGCGCCUUUGCCCUGACUCUGCGUGUGAAGAAGUGUAGCACAAAAUAUCAGCACUUAACCAGUGUGAUAGCCUCUGUUCUCAUCUGUGCACAUCUUCACACUAACCUGUUGUGAUUUUCUUCUUUUCCCUCCAGACUACUUUUGCUGUAUAUUUUAUUUUGUUUCUCUGAGAUAAGGCUCUUACAUUACAUAGGUUGCCUGACAAACUUUCUUCUCUCUGCAUCCCCAGCCCAGGCCAUGGUGAAAUGAAGAACCAAGUGCGGUGUCUACAACUAUUGUCCAAGUGUAAUAUAAAUGAAUCCAGAGGCAGGAAGUCCAGUACUCACUCACAGGCACCUGCUGCAAUUUAAAUAAAAAAGUACUUGCAAGACAAUGGUUGGGUAUAGAAGAGAGCAAUAAGUAUAGCCACUGGCCCUGCCUGACUAACAUAAAAGGGAAUUAAAACUCCACCUGCUACCUUCAGUACCUUAGGUGACCCUGGAAUCACAGGAAGUAGUGGGGGAAAAAGAUGGGAAAGCACAGAAUGAGACUGUGGAAGACCACGGACUAGAUGGAAGUUAUAUGGUGAUGCAGCCAUGGAUGGUCAUUGGAUUAGUCCUAUUAAAAGAAGGCACUUCAUGUCCUAGAAUGUCAGACACAAGUGGAGCCAGAACAAGGCCUUCUGAUUGAUAAACCCUGCGCACACUCAUGAUGUUAGUCACAUCUU